rnacentral:rRNA from 1 species
UGGGGAAUUUUGGACAAUGGGCGCAAGCCUGAUCCAGCCAUGCCGCGUGCGGGAAGAAGGCCUUCGGGUUGUAAACCGCUUUUGUCAGGGAAGAAACGCUCUGGGCUAAUACCCUGGGGUAAUGACGGUACCUGAAGAAUAAGCACCGGCUAACUACGUGCCAGCAGCCGCGGUAAUACGUAGGGUGCAAGCGUUAAUCGGAAUUACUGGGCGUAAAGCGUGCGCAGGCGGUUAUGCAAGACAGAUGUGAAAUCCCCGGGCUCAACCUGGGAACUGCAUUUGUGACUGUAUAGCUAGAGUACGGUAGAGGGGGAUGGAAUUCCGCGUGUAGCAGUGAAAUGCGUAGAUAUGCGGAGGAACACCGAUGGCGAAGGCAAUCCCCUGGACCUGGUACUGACGCUCAUGCACGAAAGCGUGGGGAGCAAACAGGAUUAGAUACCCCCGUAGUCCCUGAGCGGGCUGGCAAGGCGCAU